rnacentral:rRNA from 1 species
AUUAAACGCUGGCGGCAUGCCUUACACAUGCAAGUCGAACGGCAGCACGGGGGCAACCCUGGUGGCGAGUGGCGGACGGGUGAGUAAAGCAUCGGAACGUAUCCUGGAGUGGGGGAUAACGUAGCGAAAGUUACGCUAAUACCGCAUAUUCUGUGAGCAGGAAAGCAGGGGAUCGCAAGACCUUGCGCUCUGGGAGCGGCCGAUGUCGGAUUAGCUAGUUGGUGGGGUAAAGGCCUACCAAGGCGACGAUCCGUAGCGGGUCUGAGAGGAUGAUCCGCCACACUGGGACUGAGACACGGCCCAGACUCCUACGGGAGGCAGCAGUGGGGAAUUCUGGACAAUGGGCGGAAGCCUGAUCCAGCCAUGCCGCGUGAGUGAAGAAGGCC